rnacentral:rRNA from 1 species
CAGUAGCCGCGGUAAUACGAAGGGUGCGAGCGUUAAUCGGAAUUACUGGGCGUAAAGCGUGCGUAGGCGGUGAGUUAAGUCUGCUGUGAAAUCCCCGGGCUCAACCUGGGAAUGGCAGUGGAUACUGGCUCGCUAGAGUGUGUCAGAGGAUGGUGGAAUUCCCGGUGUAGCGGUGAAAUGCGUAGAGAUCGGGAGGAACAUCAGUGGCGAAGGCGGCCAUCUGGGACAACACUGACGCUGAGGCACGAAAGCGUGGGGAGCAAACAGGAUUAGAUACCCCAGUAGUCCCUGUCUCUUAUAA